rnacentral:rRNA from 1 species
UACGUAGGGUGCGAGCGUUAAUCGGAAUUACUGGGCGUAAAGCGUGCGCAGGCGGUUUUGUAAGACAGAUGUGAAAUCCCCGGGCUUAACCUGGGAACUGCAUUUGUGACUGCAAGACUAGAGUGCGGCAGAGGGGGGUAGAAUUCUCGGUGUAGCGGUGGAAUGCGUAGAGAUGAGGAGGAACACCAGUGGCGAAGGCGGCCACCUGGACAGUAACUGACGCUGAGGCGCGAAAGCGUGGGGAGCAAACAGG